rnacentral:rRNA from 1 species
UACGUAGGGUGCGAGCGUUAAUCGGAAUGACUGGGCGUAAAGCGUGCGCAGGCGGUUUUGUAAGCCAGAUGUGAAAUCCCCGGGCUUAACCUGGGAAUGGCAUUUGGGACUGCAAGGCUUGAGUGCGGCAGAGGAGACUGGAAUUCCUGGUGUAGCAGUGAAAUGCGUAGAUAUCAGGAGGAACACCGAUGGCGAAGGCAGGUCUCUGGGCUGACACUGACGCUCAUGCACGAAAGCGUGGGGAGCAAACAGG